rfam:Jatropha curcas cultivar GZQX0401 scaffold983_25, whole genome shotgun sequence.
GUAACGUUUCUUGCUCAAAUGAGUAUUCCAACCACAGUUGUUUCCUUAUAGUACUAUCUGCUAGUCUUGUGGUUGCUGGUGCUCCUGUUCUUUGAGAUGCUCAUUUGAGCAAGCAAUGUUAA